AGGGUUGUAGUUUAAUUUAAUAAACAUUUGAUUUGCAUUCAAAAGAUACCACAAAAGUCUACCUUA
rnacentral:tRNA from 1 species